GGAAAAAUGCCUCCGUGGAGAACUGCCCGCCUUCUGUGAUUGUUGUUUAUUAUUUCAAGCUUUCAAAUUGUUGCAUGUGUCGUCUUCCUCAGGGGGUGGAAAGCUCUGUUUUUGUUUGAGUGGUCUGAGCGUAAGCAAACAGAACCAACAGUGACAUAGACCACACAACUCCAGAUGUGUCCGUUCGUCUGAGGCUCUGAGCCCCUUGUCAGGCCUUCUUUCCAGCUGUGAUUGAGGCCUCUCCCUACGCAAACAUGGCUUUUGUACGGCAUUCAAUGUCAGUCAACCCGACAAUAAGAAAUCUCACCCUUUUAUUAUUAGGCUAAGACUUGACACCAAGAAAAAACAUCCUUCCAUAAUAAUUUAACGGGCUCUAUCCUGCCUUUCGAUCAUCUCUCCUUCAUUUGGCGGGACAAAUGAGAGAGUCAAAAAAAGAGAAGAAAUCUCUCCGCACACAAGGAAGGGUUGUCUCAAAGGCUAAGCGAAAGCUUUGCAUUUAAUCCAGUAAACAUGACGGUGGAGAGACUUGAUCAAACCUGGAUUUGAAUGGGGAGCUCUUAUCUUACCACGAGCCUCUUGUGAAAUAACAUACCAUGUAUGAACUCAAAGAAAUCACAGACGUGUUCUUCAAACAGAUUCCCCACCGCUUUCCUCUCCUCCCUGCUCUCCUUCACUGGCUUUCUCUCCCUCUCCCCCGAUCAACAGCGCAUAGACGUUAAUCCACCACUAGCAAUAACAAAUAAUGAAAUUGGGAAAAUAAGUUGCAACAUGGUAGAAAGAAAAUAUUGUUUUCCCGAAAAUAAACCACAGUCCGCUUUGUAUUGCAAAACAGCACCGUGUCAACAGUGUCAGGCGUCCAACACUCCGCGCCAAGGUCUCUGGGCUCUGGUGGAGAAAAACAUGCUGGUCGGAAGAUUGCCACGGGAGAUUGGAACAGAGACUGUAAGGAGAAAUGGAGAGAAGUAGGAAGAGGAGAGAGAGAGGAGGAGAGAGAAAGGUGGUUUACAAUUGGAUUGCUGCUUCCAAAUCUGCACAUUGAAAGCUUUGUGGAACAACGUUCAGAUACUGUGGUACACUGUAGCUGAAGCUGUUCCCAUAUAUUCCUCAGCUACCAGAACAGCAAUAUUAACUGUAUUGUUUAUGCUUUCUACCCUCCUUUGUCCUCCCUAACUCCCUCUCUUUGUAUAAUCUGUUCAUCCUGUUUUGGGGGCUCUUUGUUACUUUUAUCUUGUGCAGUAAGUCUUUUGGUAUGUUUUUAAACUCUCAUCCCCAUGGAGGAGAAAGUGUCGGUCCUACAUUCAUUUCUCUGAAAGUAAUUGCAUAACCUGUGUAAUUAAUCAUCCGAAUUGACAUAAUGUAUUUUUCCUGAUGCCUGUUUUUUUUGUGACUUGAUGAGGACCAGUUAAUAACUCUGGCCCAAGUUCACCACCACAACUAGCCAAGUCCAUUGGGGUCGUCCGACUAAAGAGCAUACAGUGAUCCAUUUGACUUGGCCGUCACGUUCCAUCUCCACAUCAGAUCUUCUUUGCCUUCCUAUGUUCUGGACAGUGUUUUAUUUUUUACAAAACGGAAUCUAAAUAGUUGAAGGAGUCAGUCGCCCACAUUGCUUGAGAAUGACUCCUUCCCUCUGAGCGUACACUCCACCCAGCACCAGUGUGAGUGUGUGUUUGUGUGCGGGCUUGUGUGUGAAAUUAGUGCCUUUGAUAUUUUAAGAAGAAAUAAAAGCAUGUUAUGUUAGAGGAAGUGCCAUUUAAUAUAUACAACAUGGAGAAUUCAAUCAAUCCGAUUUUUAAUAUGAAUAAAGACUUGCUGAAGUGGCAAGAUUCAGCAUUUUGACAUGUCCAUCCGUGCCCCAUCUGUGACAUCUAGGAAGAUUUUAACCCACUGAACCCCAACAUUUCUCCAGGUUUUCAAUAUAAAGCCCUAGUUAUUUUGUUGCUUUGACAGUUAUUACAGAAGAUGAUGAUUUAUUUCAUGUGAUUAGUGAUUCACGUACGUCUGUCCCUCAUUUUUAAUUUCUUUUUUUUUUCAAAUAUUGUUUUCUGAAGAAACAUUGAGCGUCUAAUAGUCAAUUCCUGGAGUAAAUGCAGGCACCGAAUUGGUGAAACCACCCAUGAAUUGGUCUCCAGUCUCACCCGGAGAGAGACAAUGAAAUGGUAGUGGGAAAAGGAAGUAACACAUUACAUGACAUAUUUCCUUAGGGCCCCGAGCAAACCAACAAGCUAGCUUCCUCCAUCAUGACCUGAUGGUCAUCUCUGUGUUUUGUCAUAGCUAGUUUUUUUACUAUUCUUUCUAACGAAUCACUUUGAAUGUCAGUUCAAAUUUUAUUUGGAUGGAAACUUAGUUUGUAUAAUCACUUGAUUACUUUUCUUAUCUCAUACUACUUUGGAGGUUAGGAAACAUUUUGAACAGGCUUUCCCACUGGGCACAGGUGUCAAUACAGCGUCUCUUCCAUGUUGGUUCAAGGUCAUUUUAUUGAAAUGACGUGGAAACAACGUUGAUUCAACCAGUGCGUGUUGAACGGAUUAUAAUGUACAAGGCCUUAAAGGGGCAUUUCACCCUGGCUCUGCCACGACGUGUAGUCAUUACUAUAUUAAUAAUAUACGUUUUUAUCAUAAACAUCACAAUUAUCUAAACCACUAGCUAGAACUUGCACAUUUUCAUUUUACUGGUAGAAUCCGGAAGUUUCGACUCCCUGAUGAACCACAAAGUCCAGCACUUAUAGCGAAUGCUGAUACUGCCCGCUAGGUAGAGGGGGCGUGCCCAAAAACGUCAAUAAUGGCAUUGUUUACUAUGAACGACCAACACACAAAAAUGUGUGUGUGUGUGUGUGCGGGCUUGUAUGUGAAAUUAGUGCCUUUGAUAUUUUAAGUUGAAAUUGUACACCAAUAUUGAAUUUUAAAAGCCUGUUAUGUUAAAUGAAGUGCCAUUUAAUAUAGACAACAUGGAUAAUUCAAUCAAUCAGAUUUUGCAUUGAUGAAUGUGUAUAAAUCGUCUAUGGUUGGUUAGUUGGUUCUCAGCCAGUCUCAGCUGGCUAGCAAUCUUGCUACCAAUUUAGUGAUGCUAGUUAGCUAACAGCAAGCUGACGAUAUUGAAAUGUCCAUGUUAGGAAUGCUUAGCUAGCCAGUUUAAUAGAGGUCAAUACAAUUAGUGGGGUGGUUAAAUUGUGUAUUGUUGUGUAUUUUGUUGUAGGUGCUACAGAAUCUGAUUCCACCAACAUGCACUUCCAACCACUGGCUCUGCUCAAUAUGAAGUUAAAUUGGCCAAAUAUGUACAAACUGAUGGCUAAGACAGCUCAAUUUAGAGUAAGCAUGGUAUAAACAUUAAUUGGGUAGUGUUUGUAUGGUUUGUGUUGUGUUCUGGGGUUACAGGUGGUUCGAGGUAGCCAGAGGACCACAGAGUACCUUCCAGAACAAUUUAGUCUACCCCUCUUCUCUUCUUACCUUUUCUAUUUGUACAACUCAGGUUAUCUGGAGUCAUUCCGCGGUGCCCCAAAGUGGGGGCCUUUUGAGUGCACAAGCAUGAGGGAGCGGACACAGUUAUGGAGCACAUUGGGACAGAAACCAGCAAGUGACACUGAAAGAGGACCUGAGCCCUAGGACCAUGCUUCAGGACUACCUGACAUGAUGACUCCUUGCUGUCCCCAGUCCACCUGGCCGUGCUGCUGCUCCAGUUUCAACUGUUCUGCCUUAUUAUUAUUGGACCAUGCUGGUCAUUUAUGAACAUUUGAACAUCUUUGUCAUGUUCUGUUAUAAUCUCCACCCGGCACAGCCAGAAGAGGACUGGCCACCCCACAUAGCCUGGUUCCUCUCUAGGUUUCUUCCUAGGUUUUGCCCUUUCUAGGGAGUUUUUCCUAGCCACCGUGCUUCUACACCUGCAUUGCUUGCUGUUUGGGGUUUUAGGCUGGGUUUCUGUACAGCACUUUGAGAUAUCAGCUGAUGUACGAAGGGCUAUAUAAAUACAUUUGAUUUGAUUUGAUUUGAUGACUGAACAGAGAUUACAUUCUGGCAGUGUGAAAGUGGCAGGGCUGAGUAUUUGUAGAGGUCUUGAUUAUGGAACAGGUUGCAGCUGGUGGUGAUCUGCUCUGACUCCAGCACAACUGUCUCCGCCCACACAAUCACACACAAAGAGAGAGAGGGAGAGGGAGAGAGUACUGGGGGAGUGAAGGCACGUCAAGGAGACACAGGAUGAGAAGUAGAGGGCGGUGCAGGAGCAAAUGUGACAGGCACAGAGAUUACAUUUACAACUAUAUCUAGCCUAAUAGUGUCACGUGUGCUCCCUCUCCGGCCUCUAGGUCACCAGGCUGCUCGUUAUGGCUCACACCUGUCACCAUUGAUGCGCGCACCUGUGCGUCAUCAGACUCACCUGGACUCCAUCACUUCCCUGAUUACCUUCCCUAUAUAUGUCUCUCCCUUAGGUUCCUUCCCCAGGCAUUAUUGUUUCUGUUCCAGUGUCAUGUCUGUUCGUGGUUCUUGUUUUUUUACUGUCACGUGUGCUCCCUCUCUGGCCUCUAAGUCACCAGGCUGCUCGUUAUGGCUCACACUUGUCACCAUCGUUACGCGCACCUGCGUGUCAUCAGACUCACCUGGACUCCAUCACUUCCCUGAUUACCUUCCCUAUAUACAGUGCCUUGCGAAAGUAUUCGGCCCCCGGCUUUAAACUUCUUCACAACAGUAUCUCGGACCUGCCUGGUGUGUUCCUUGUUCUUCAUGAUGCUCUCUGCGCUUUUAACGGACCUCUGAGACUAUCACAGUGCAGGUGCAUUUAUACGGAGACUUGAUUACACACAGGUGGAUUGGAUUUAUCAUCAUUAGUCAUUUAGGUCAACAUUGGAUCAUUCAGAGAUCCUCACUGAACUUCUGGAGAGAGUUUGCUGCACUGAAAGUAAAGAGGCUGAAUAAUUUUGCACGCCCAAUUUUUCAGUUUUUGAUUUGUUAAAAAAGUUUGAAAUAUCCAAUAAAUGUCAUUCCACUUCAUGAUUGUGUCCCACUUGUUGUUGAUUCUUCACAAAAAAAUACAGUUUUAUAUCUUUGUUUGAAGCCUGAAAUGUGGCAAAAGGUCGCAAAGUUCAAGGGGGCCGAAUAGUUUCGCAAGGCACUGUAUGUCACUCCCUUUCGUUCCUUACCCAGGCGUUAUUGUUUCUGUUCCUUUGUCAUGUCUGUGCGUUGUUCGUGUUUCUUAUUUUGUAUUAUGUUACAUUUAUUUAUUUAAACACUCACCCCCUGAACUUGCUUGCCGACUCUCAGCGCACUCGUUACAAAUAGAAAGAAAUAUGGCAUAACCCUCAACAAUUGAACAGUGACAAGACCGUACAAAUGAGCAUACUGUAGGUAGGUAUGCAGACAGUAUCUACCUACAGCCAUGUCUAUCAGGCAUGCUUAGGCAAAUAUUCUUUAUAGUAAACCAGCGUCAUUUUUAGAGAUAUACAACUGUAAAUUGUUGUAUUAUUAUUUCUCCUCAUUGUUUGCUAGGUAACUUAGCUAGCUAGCUUGCUAGAUAUACAAUACUUGAUAUUUAAAUCUGUUUGGAAUCCUAUCUUGCGUCAUGCCUAUAAUUCUGUGAGAUUGAAAUGCAUCCAAGUUCAUAAUCAUAACUGAUGUCAACCCUCGUCAAUUGUGUUACAUAGCUAGCUAGUAAAAUUAUUUACAGUUGCUGAUUUUAUACCUGUUUGCUAACAAGUUACAGAUACGAGCAGUGGUAUAAAGUACUUAAGUAAAAGUACUACUUAAGUCGUUCUUUGGGGUAUCUGUACUUUACUUUACUAUUUCUAUUUUUGAAAAAUGUACUUUUACUCUACUACAUUCCAGAAUAAACACAGAAAUGUCUGCA
ensembl:lncRNA